AUAACCGCGAUGGGAGAGCCCGUUUUGAUCUUGUGAUCAGAAUGGCGCCGAAGGAGCAAUUGCCCCGAAAACUCUCAGGCACAUGGACCGUUGCGGAUUG
rfam:Thalassospira alkalitolerans strain JCM 18968 contig9, whole genome shotgun sequence.